rnacentral:rRNA from 1 species
AAGAGAGAGACAUGCGCGCAUAUCAAUAAGCGGAGGAAAAGAAACUAACAAGGAUUCCCUUAGUAACGGCGAGUGAAGCGGGAAGAGCUCAAAUUUGAAAUCUUCAAGGUUUUACCUUGACGAAUUGUAGUUUAAAGAAGUGUUUUCUGCUGAAGUUUUGGUAAAAGUUCUUUGGAAUAGGACAUCAUAGAGGGUGAGAAUCCCGUAUUUGACCAUUAUUUUCAGCUUUGUGAUACACUUUCAAAGAGUCGGAUUGUUUGGGAAUGCAGUCCAAAAUGGGUGAUAAAUUUCAUCUAAAGCUAAAUAUUGGCGAGAGACCGAUAGCGAACAAGUACCGUGAGGGAAAGAUGAAAAGAACUUUGAAAAGAGAGUUAAACAGUACGUGAAAUUGUCAAAAGGGAAGCGUUUGACACCAGUGUUGUUUUCUCGAAAAUCAAUUAAAAAUGGCUCGAUUUUGUAUUGCUUGAGACCUUAAAAGCUCACUGUACAUUUUUCGUGUCUUUUUUAAUGCACUUUUCGUUUAACAAGUCAACAUCAGUUUCUUUUGUUGUAAAAGGGUCAUUGGAAGGUGGCUUUCUUUUCGGAGAAAGUGUUUAUAGCCUUUGGCCUCUGCAAUCGGAGAGACUGAGGUCUGCAGCGUAGACUCUUCGGGGUUAGAUACAUUUGUGCUAAGUUAUAGCUUUUUAUAGACAACUUGUUGACUAUAAUUAGUCUUGUAGCUUACUCGCUUAUGCUAUUUUACCUACGCUUAGGAUGUUGAGUCGUAGAGCACGCAG